rnacentral:rRNA from 1 species
AGCGAACGCUGGCGGCAUGCUUAACACAUGCAAGUCGCACGGGCAGGGGCAACCCUGUCAGUGGCGGACGGGUGAGUAACGCGUAGGUAUCUGUCCUUGGGUGGGGGAUAACCACGGGAAACUGUGGCUAAUACCGCAUGAUGACUGAGGUCCAAAGGCGCAAGUCGCCUGGGGAGGAGCCUGCGUCCGAUUAGCUUGUU